rnacentral:rRNA from 1 species
UACGUAGGGGGCAAGCGUUGUCCGGAAUCAUUGGGCGUAAAGCGCGUGUAGGCGGCUCGGAAAGUCUGGUGUGAAAUCCUGCGGCUCAACUGCAGGCGGUCACUGGAUACUGUCGAGCUUGAGUCCGGAAGAGGAGUGUGGAAUUCCUGGUGUAGCGGUGGAAUGCGCAGAUAUCAGGAGGAACACCAAUGGCGAAGGCAGCACUCUGGUACGUGACUGACGCUGAGACGCGAAAGCGUGGGGAGCAAACAGG